CCAAGUUUCCCAUCAACAGCCCUGCAGUAAAAAUUCAGGGGUUCAGAGACAAACAUUUCAUGAGUACAGACUGUGAUGAGGAAAAGCAAGCCAUUCCUUCUCUAUCAGGACCCAGAGGGAUCUUUAACAAGUGACACAAACAAGAGAAGAAGCAGACAGGACCAUUUAACUUCAAACCCCACCGAAGAGAGCCAAAUUGUAAGCUUCCUACAGCAAGCCCGGCUGGCGGCUAUGUGGCAGUCUUCAUUUCUCAGCGGAAAAGCCACUCCCUGGAGACUCCAGGCACCCCCCCGACCACAUUUUUUAUCAAGUGUCUAAAAGACACAAUGAACAGAAACCAGAGCUUUUGAAUACAGAUUUCCAGUAAAACUAAACCCAGCUUGGGUCAUAUGCACCUUUCCAGUGACCACCAUCUCAGCAACAACCUGCCAGCUGUUGAUCAGAAGUUCAGCUUCCGGGAACUUCAGCCCCCUUCUCAGAGGAGCAAGGUCCUAGCACCAACAGCACCUGCAGCGGAGUCUAAGUAUGGCUGCUUCAUGGAGAAGACAGCACUUUGGGAGGCCAAGGCGGGCAGAUCACGAGGUCAAGAGACCAAGACCAUCCUGGCCAACAUUCUGAAACCCCGUCUCUACUAAAAAUACAAAAUAUCAGCUGGGCAUCGUGGUGCGUGCCUGUAGUCCCAGCUACUUGGGAGGUUGAAUCGCUUGAGCCCAGGAGGUUGAGGCUGCAGAAGACUCGUUCGAACCCAGG